rnacentral:rRNA from 1 species
AUUCGUCACACUAUCAUUAACUGAAUCCAUAGGUUAAUGAGGCGAACCGGGGGAACUGAAACAUCUAAGUACCCCGAGGAAAAGAAAUCAACCGAGAUUCCCCCAGUAGCGGCGAGCGAACGGGGAGCAGCCCAGAGCCUGAAUCAGUGUGUGUGUUAGUGGAAGCGUCUGGAAAGGCGCGCGAUACAGGGUGACAGCCCCGUACACAAAAAUGCACAUG